ensembl:snoRNA LOC120102669 small nucleolar RNA SNORA17
ACUGUCCCUGGAGGCAUUUUAGGUGUGGCUGCUAUGUCACAUGUGCAUUAUGGGGUGGCAGAGGGGAGAGAAGCUUUGUCUAUGCUCAAUGUGUCGGCCUAUGAAUAUUUGAAUGCUUGGUAGCCUAACAUC